CCUACGGGGGGCAGCAGUGGGGGAUAUUGGACAAUGGGGGGAACCCUGAUCCAGCGACGCCGCGCGAGUGAAGAAGUAUUUCGGUAUGUAAAGCUCUAUCAGCAGGGAAGAAAAUGACGGUACCUGACUAAGAAGCCCCGGCUAACUACGUGCCAGCAGCCGCGGUAAUACGUAGGGGGCAAGCGUUAUCCGGAUUUACUGGGUGUAAAGGGAGCGUAGACGGCAGCGCAAGUCUGGAGUGAAAUGCCGGGGCCCAACCCCGGAACUGCUUUGGAAACUGUGCAGCUCGAGGGCAGGAGGGGUAA
rnacentral:rRNA from 1 species